rnacentral:lncRNA from 1 species
GCUCACUGCAACCUCCACCUCCCGAGUUCAAGUGAUGCUCCUGCUUCGGCCUCCUGAGUAGCUGGGACUACAGAACUGCGUAGCGCCUUAUACGCUGCGGCAAGUGUGACGUCAUUCGAACAAACCAUAGGCCCCGCCCCCGGACUAGCCACGCCCACAGGCUCCUGAAACCACCAAUCCCAGCUGUGACAGCGCUCAGGACCGAUGCUCAUAGGUCCCGUCCCUAGGAUCCCCGCCCCCUCCGCCCGCGCCCCGCCCCUCGCAGCCCAGUUCCGGACGCGGGCCCAGCCGCGCCUGCGCCUCCGCUCGCCUGUGGCUGCGUCGCGCGCUCUUCCUCGGAGCUACCCAGGCGGCUGGUGUGCAGCAAGCUCCGCGCCGACCCCUGACGCCUGACGCCUGUCCCC